rnacentral:rRNA from 1 species
CCUACGGGAGGCUGCAGUGGGGAAUAUUGGACAAUGGGGGGAACCCUGAUCCAGCCAUGCCGCGUGUGUGAAGAAGGCCCUCGGGUUGUAAAGCACUUUCAGUGAGGAAGAACGCCUGGUGGUUAAUACCCAGCAGGAAAGACAUCACUCACAGAAGAAGCACCGGCUAACUCCGUGCCAGCAGCCGCGGUAAUACGGAGGGUGCGAGCGUUAAUCGGAAUUACUGGGCGUAAAGCGCGCGUAGGUGGCUUGAUAAGCCGGUUGUGAAAGCCCCGGGCUCAACCUGGGAACGGCAUCCGGAACUGUCAAGCUAGAGUGCAGGAGAGGAAGGUAGAAUUCCCGGUGUAGCGGUGAAAUGCGUAGAGAUCGGGAGGAAUACCAGUGGCGAAGGCGGCCUUCUGGACUGACACUGACACUGAGGUGCGAAAGCGUGGGUAGCAAACAGGAUUAGAUACCCUGGUAGUC